rnacentral:rRNA from 1 species
UACGGGGGGAGCAAGCGUUGUUCGGAAUUACUGGGCGUAAAGAGCUCGUAGGUGGUUUGUCGCGUUGUUCGUGAAAACUCACAACUCAAUUGUGGGCGUGCGGGCGAUACGGGCAGACUGGAGUACUGCAGGGGAGACUGGAAUUCCUGGUGUAGCGGUGGAAUGCGCAGAUAUCAGGAGGAACACCGGUGGCGAAGGCGGGUCUCUGGGCAGUAACUGACGCUGAGGAGCGAAAGCGUGGGGAGCGAACAGG